CAGGUUAUAAUAAAUAAAGUAUCUAAAAUAUACGGAGCGUUAAACUUGACACCAAACUCUAUGAGCUCAACUAAAAUCUUUACACUCAAUUCAAGUUUGUUUUGACUGGAAAAGAUGAGGUGUUUAAUAAAUUCCUGAGUAUUACAAACAAGGUAAAGGGCAAAACGCAAAAAGAACAGAAUGGUUCAACCAACCUAAGCUAGAUUAUUAAGAUGGAUGAUGUCAUUUUACAGAUUUAAGUUCUUGGAAAACGUGAAGAAGGAUGUACUUUACAAAGAGCAAUCACAAGCUAAGAGCUUUGAUUUAUUAUUCAAAUAUUUUACAGCUAUGUAAUAUUUUUUUUAGGUUUUACUCAUUCUAUUCUUUAACGAUUUUUAUUUUAAGUGUUUUAUGUAAAUAAUAUAAAAAUAUACUAAUUAUUAGUAAAAUAUAACUAUAUUAUGUUAAAUUUAUUUAUAUCGUAUGUAUUAAAUAUUUUUAAACCUAUUAUAUAGUAUUAAUUAAAUACAAAUUCAACUGGUAUUUUACAUUUUUAUGUUGUAACAAAAUCCUAUAUUUGAUCAUUCUACCAUGAAAUAUUUAUAAUAUUUGAAUAUAGAUAG